rnacentral:rRNA from 1 species
GGGGAAUAUUGGACAAUGGGGGGAACCCUGAUCCAGCCAUGCCGCGUGUGUGAAGAAGGCCUUUUGGUUGUAAAGCACUUUAAGCGAGGAGGAGGCUACCGAGAUUAAUACUCUUGGAUAGUGGACGUUACUCGCAGAAUAAGCACCGGCUAACUCUGUGCCAGCAGCCGCGGUAAUACAGAGGGUGCAAGCGUUAAUCGGAUUUACUGGGCGUAAAGCGCGCGUAGGUGGCCAAUUAAGUCAAAUGUGAAAUCCCCGAGCUUAACUUGGGAAUUGCAUUCGAUACUGGUUGGCUAGAGUAUGGGAGAGGAUGGUAGAAUUCCAGGUGUAGCGGUGAAAUGCGUGGAGAUCUGGAGGAAUACCGAUGGCGAAGGCAGCCAUCUGGCCUAAUACUGACACUGAGGUGCGAAAGCAUGGGGAGCAAACAGGAUUAGAUACCCUGGUAGUCCACGCCGUAAACGAUGUCUACUAGCCGUUGGGGCCUUUGAGGCUUUAGUGGCGCAGCUAACGCGAUAAGUAGACCGCCUGGGGAGUACGGUCGCAAGACUA